GCUGGCUCUGCCCCUGAUCUGCCUCUUUGUCAGUCUCAGCCAAUCCUAUGGGGAGGCAUUGUGAUUGGAUCAGGCUACCACUUCUGAUGAUGUCAGCAGACUGUUUGUUUUUCUGAGUCUAACAGCAUGCAGAGUUACAGCUUCAGGCUUGAAUACAGUAAGAUUUUUACUAUAUUUAUGAAGGCAUGAGGGGUCCAGGGGGG